rnacentral:rRNA from 1 species
UACGGGGGGAGCAAGCGUUGUUCGGAUUUACUGGGCGUAAAGGGCGCGUAGGCGGCGCAACAAGUCACUUGUGAAAUCUCCGGGCUUAACCCGGAAAGGUCAACUGAUACUGUGCGACUAGAGUGCGGAAGGGGCAACUGGAAUUCUCGGUGUAGCGGUGAAAUGCGUAGAUAUCGAGAGGAACACCUGCGGCGAAGGCGGGUUGCUGGGCCGACACUGACGCUGAUGCGCGAAAGCCAGGGGAGCGAACGGG